GACUAUUUAUCUUUAGGAAGACAAGUGUUUUGAAAGCACCCAAUAAGAGUUCGAAUCUCUUAAUAGUUU
rnacentral:tRNA from 1 species